rnacentral:lncRNA from 1 species
CACUGUAAAAAUUUGCUGUAACUCAUGCAGUAAAAUACUGUGAUUUACAACAGUAAUAUGUUGUAAUAACGAUUUUACGAUAAUUAACUGUAUAAGUACGUUGCUGUACAGUAUAUUGCUGUAAACAUCAGUGUCGUAGAGCAUGGGAACAAAUAUCUACAGUAAGCUAGUGUAAAGGAGCGUGCAAAAAGCAUUGUGGGAUACAGCGCACAUGCGCAUUAGGCGGAUCGGCUGCAUAUGCGCGUAUGCGUUGCACGUGAUUGGCUCCCGCGCUAGCCCGCCACGCCGCGCCGCCAUUUUUAAUUUUCUGCAAAGAUUUGAGCUGAGAUAUAUAGCUGAGCUGGCCGGCCUGAUCCUGAGCAACGAAUCUGAAUCUGUUCUGUUCCUGGUCCUGAUCCUCGAGCUGGGAUAUUGAUGACCAAUAAGUCAAUUCCAAGGGGAUCCGAGUAUGCCAUGGAUUACUGCUGAAGUCACACAGUGUGCAUGCUGAAACACUAAUCAGACGGAUGCUCUACAUGGACAUCAUAUACCCAUGUACGUUUGUAAGCUAUGUAAUCAUUCUUCUGGAUCAUUGAAGCGGUUUUCUGAACACUUUUCAGUCCAUAGAAAUGUGGUGAAUUUCGAUUUCCCGUGUGGUGUUCCUGGCUGCAAUCGAACAUUCAGAAAUUAUUCAUCCUUCAAAACCCAUGUGCAUAGGGAUCAUCAACCAUUUUCAAGAAAAAAAGAUGCCCAGUUUUUCUGCGUUUCUACCUGGAAUUGUCCACUCUGUGCUGUAAAAUGUGAGGAAAUCCAUGACAUACUUUCUCAUCUUAGAGUUCAUAUCAAACACGGAGUUGAAAUACGCUGUCCUUUUGCCAAUUGCAAAAAACGUUUUUCAGUGAGGUCGUCUUUUGCGUCACAUAUAUCAAGAGUACCUGGUAUUCUCGAACUUCCAGUCAGUCUGAAUACGCCUUAAGAUAUAUAUACUGGAAAUGUCAUUUCUUGCAAAAUUUAUAACAUGUUCUGUAUAAUUAUAAGAAGUGUAUCUUAGUACAGACUAACAUUCAGAACAAAUUACAGGGGCGCCUACAUACUACAUCAAUUUCAAAAUUAUCAAUUAAAAAAAAUCCCACUUACAUUGAGUAUCUGAACCCUUUACUUUCACACACUUUCUUAAAAUUUUAUUUGUGUCUUUUUGCCCUUUUUAGACAUUUGCAAAUGUUAUGCUUGCAAAAGGGAUCAUGUACCUUUAAUAUGCAUUUCAAUUGAACUUAAUAUGAAACAUCACAAGUGAAAAUUGAAAUUUGAAAUCAAAUAUUUUGUUAGUGAGGGAGGUUAAAAAAGUCACGUGACUUCGUGGUAUUAAGGAAGCCGUGUGUUUAGCCUUGAUGCAAAGAGACCAACUACAGGGAGCCCAAACUUUUUUAAUAAAUUGUGUCUAGCGGUCAUUGAACUUCCUAGACAAAGCAUUAGUACGUGUAUUCUGUGAGCCUGGCAUGUGUGCAGCCUUGUCAUCAUAAGCAUUGCUUGAUUGUUUACUUACUGUUUUCCAAAAUAUGUUUUACAUUACUUGCAAUUUAGCAUUAUUUUACCUUAGUGAAUUUUCAUAUAUUUUAGUCUGUACAUGCAAUACACCUUUAUUUUAAUAAAUUUAAUAAGUCAUGAAAUAAAUGAAUUUGCCAAAUAUUAGGCCUAUAUUUAAGUAACCUAUAUUUUAUUUCGACAUAUUUCAAGUUAUAUAAUAAUAUAUUUUUUUUAAGUAACUUAUAUUUUAUUACGAUAUAUGUUACGUUAUAUGGUAAUAUGUUUUUUUAUCAUAUUUAAUACGUAGCAAUAUUGUAGCUAAACGAAUUUCAUAAUUUUAUGUUUUCAUUUUACAUGUACACAAAUUGAUCAUAUUUUCUAUUUUCUUUGUUCAUUGUGCACAUUGGUAAUUCUAUUUCAUUAAUUUCUGUAUAUCAUGUAUAUUUUCUUAUUGUCAAGUAUGUUUUACGGUUUUUGUUAUUUUGCACAGCCCCUUUGUAAACCAGCCGAGUAGCUGAAUAGGGCUUUUACCGUCAAUAAAUCAAUCAAUCAAUCAAUUGAAUGACAGCUCAUGAAGUUGAAACAAGUUUCUGUGCAGAAUUGGCAUGUAAAUGAGACAAGAAUACAGAAGAAUAUGAAACACGUAUUAAAGAUUACAAGUUUAAUAUAACAGAGCAACUCAAAUUAAAUGGGGUAUUAGUUCAAAAGAUAAAUUAAACAAAAAUAAAGUGAGUAAUGUCUUUUGGAGAGAUUCUACCAGGUAUAGAGAGUUUUCCUUGAUUCUGCCAGGUAUAUGGAGACUUUUCAUUGAUUGUAUUCUGAUAGUAGUUGUCGUUUAAUAGUGGCUUUAAAGGAAGAUAAAAGUGUAUAAAAUAUGUCUUGUUUACAAUUGAAGAUAAUUCUUUACAAUAGUUUUUUACAAUUCAGAAUUUUAAAGUGAACAUAUUGUUGUCUGUUCGACAAAUAAUUUUUGACCCAAGAAAGUGCAGUGCCCCUAAGCCAUACGUUGUGAUUUAGCAUAUCAAUGCCUUAAAGCCGCUAUGUCUGCACAAUUGCAUGUGUUAUUCUGUCGUAUAAUUAAAUUAAUGCUAGGUCGGGUGAAUGAUUUUUUUUAAAGCCAUAUUGGUUGGGAUUAAGCAAGUUAUGUGUAUUUCAGAAUUGGUAUAAUCUAAACAAUUUUUUCAAGAAUUUUUGAGAUACUGGAAGGAUGACUAUGGGUCUGUAGAUUCUUGAGUACUUGAACUUUUGCAGUUUUUAGUGGUUUUACUUGUUUUAAUGUUUUACUUGAUAGUUUCUUUGCAAGCAUUUUCAUAAUGUUACACUAUUUGAGAAACUUGUUUUAUGGAGCGUUGAUUACCCAAUAAAGACUUUAAUAAUGA